AGAGUUUGAUCCUGGCUCAGGACGAACGCUGGCGGCGCGCCUAACACAUGCAAGUCGAACGAGAGAGAAGGAGCUUGCUUCUUCGAUCGAGUGGCGAACGGGUGAGUAACGCGUGAGGAACCUGCCUCAAAGAGGGGGACAACAGUUGGAAACGACUGCUAAUACCGCAUAAGCCCACGGGUCGGCAUCGACCAGAGGGAAAAGGAGCAAUCCGCUUUGAGAUGGCCUCGCGUCCGAUUAGCUAGUUGGUGAGGUAACGGCCCACCAAGGCGACGAUCGGUAGCCGGACUGAGAGGUUGAACGGCCACAUUGGGACUGAGACACGGCCCAGACUCCUACGGGAGGCAGCAGUGGGGAAUAUUGCACAAUGGGGGAAACCCUGAUGCAGCGACGCCGCGUGGAGGAAGAAGGUCUUCGGAUUGUAAACUCCUGUUGUUGAGGAAGAUAAUGACGGUACUCAACAAGGAAGUGACGGCUAACUACGUGCCAGCAGCCGCGGUAAAACGUAGGUCACAAGCGUUGUCCGGAAUUACUGGGUGUAAAGGGAGCGCAGGCGGGAAGACAAGUUGGAAGUGAAAUCCAUGGGCUCAACCCAUGAACUGCUUUCAAAACUGUUUUUCUUGAGUAGUGCAGAGGUAGGCGGAAUUCCCGGUGUAGCGGUGGAAUGCGUAGAUAUCGGGAGGAACACCAGUGGCGAAGGCGGCCUACUGGGCACCAACUGACGCUGAGGCUCGAAAGUGUGGGUAGCAAACAGGAUUAGAUACCCUGGUAGUCCACACCGUAAACGAUGAUUACUAGGUGUUGGAGGAUUGACCCCUUCAGUGCCGCAGUUAACACAAUAAGUAAUCCACCUGGGGAGUACGACCGCAAGGUUGAAACUCAAAGGAAUUGACGGGGGCCCGCACAAGCAGUGGAGUAUGUGGUUUAAUUCGACGCAACGCGAAGAACCUUACCAAGUCUUGACAUCCUGCGACGGACAUAGAAAUAUGUCUUUCCUUCGGGACGCAGAGACAGGUGGUGCAUGGUUGUCGUCAGCUCGUGUCGUGAGAUGUUGGGUUAAGUCCCGCAACGAGCGCAACCCUU
rnacentral:rRNA from 1 species